rnacentral:lncRNA from 1 species
CCUACUUACAUUCUACUUUACCAAAACCAACUCUUUUGAAGAAAAUUUUGUUCUUUUUUUUUUUAGAAAAUCGCUGCUGCCUCGGCAGCGAUUUUGGUUAAGAAUUAAAAAAAAAAAAGUUUUUUUCUUCAAAAAAAAAAAGUUUAAUUCAAUAUUCUUUUUUUUUUUUUUUAAUUCAAUGUUCUUUUAUUAUUAUUUAUGAUAUAUAAUUCAAUUUUCCUUAUGCUUCAACAAUUUUAUUGAGUAUACUGUCCAUC